rnacentral:rRNA from 1 species
UACGUAGGGGGCUAGCGUUGUCCGGAUUUAUUGGGCGUAAAGAGCUCGUAGGUGGUUCGGUAAGUCGGAUGUGAAAUCUCCAGGCUCAACCUGGAGGGGUCAUUCGAUACUGCCGUGACUAGAGUUCGGUAGAGGAGUGUGGAAUUCCUGGUGUAGCGGUGAAAUGCGCAGAUAUCAGGAGGAACACCGGUGGCGAAGGCGGAUCUCUGGGCCGAUACUGACGCUGAGGAGCGAAAGCGUGGGGAGCGAACAGG